rnacentral:rRNA from 1 species
UACAGAGGGGGCAAGCGUUGCUCGGAAUCACUGGGCGUAAAGGGUGCGUAGGCGGGUCUUUUAAGUCAGGGGUGAAAUCCUGGAGCUCAACUCCAGAACUGCCUUUGAUACUGAAGAUCUUGAGUUCGGGAGAGGUGAGUGGAACUGCGAGUGUAGAGGUGAAAUUCGUAGAUAUUCGCAAGAACACCAGUGGCGAAGGCGGCUCACUGGCCCGAUACUGACGCUGAGGCACGAAAGCGUGGGGAGCAAACAGGG